UAAUACAUGCAAGUCGAACGAGAACCCUGGAUUCGUCUGGGGGGGAGAGUGGCGAACUGGUGAGUAACACGUGGGUGACCUGCCCCGAAGACGGGGAUAACCGUUGGAAACGACGGCUAAUACCCGAUAUACUCGGUGAUUCGGUUCAUCGAGUAAAGGCUCCGGUGCUUCGGGAUGGGCCUGCGGCCUAUCAGCUAGUUGGUGGGGUAAUGGCCCACCAAGGCGAAGACGGGUAGGGGGCGUGAGAGCGCGGUCCCCCACACUGGCACUGAGAUACGGGCCAGACUUCUACGGAAGGCAGCAGUCGGGGAUAUUGCACAAUCGGCGAAAGCCGGAUGCAGCGACGCCGCGUGGGCGAUGAAGGCCUUCGGGUUGUAAAGCCCUUUUAUGGGGGAAGAGACAAGGACGGUACCCCAAGAAUAAGCGUCGGCUAACUACGUGCCAGCAGCCGCGGUAAAACGUAGGACGCAAGCGUUAUCCGGAUUUACUGGGCGUAAAGAGCGUUGAGGCGGUUCCGUAAGUUGGGCGUGAAAGCCCCGGGCUUAACCCGGGGAGGUCGUUCAAUACUGCGGGACUUGAGGGCAGCAGAGGGAGGCGGAAUUCCCGGUGUAGCGGUGAAAUGCGUAGAUAUCGGGAGGAACACCAGUGGCGAAGGCGGCCUCCUGGGCUGUUUCUGACGCUGAAGGCGAAAGCUAGGGGAGCGAACGGGAUUAGAAACCCCGGUAGUCCUAGCCGUAAACGGUGGAUGCUGGGUGUGGGGGGUAUAGAUCCCCUCCGUGCCGAAGCUAACGCGUUAAGCAUCCCGCCUGGGGAUUACGGCCGCAAGGCUUAAACUCAAACGAAUUGACGGGGGCCCGCACAAGCAGCGGAGCGUGUGGUUUAAUUCGAUGCUACACGAAGAACCUUACCUGGGCUUGACAUGUAGGUAGUAGUGAAGCGAAAGCGGAACGACCCUUCGGGGAGCCUACACAGGUGCUGCAUGGCUGUCGUCAGUUCGUGCCGUGAGGUGUCGGGUUAAGUCCCGUAACGAACGCAACCCUUGCCCUUAGUUACAUGUGUCUAAGGGGACUGCCCGGGACAACUGGGAGGAAGGUGGGGAUGACGUCAAGUCAGCAUGGCCUUUAUGUCCAGGGCUACACACACGCUAC
rnacentral:rRNA from 1 species